CCGGCGACCGGCGCACGGUGAGUAACACGUAUGGAACCUGCCGCAGCAGGGGGAGUAAGCGGAAGAAAUUCCGUCUAAUACCGCGUAACAACGUUGGGAGGCAUCUCCCGAUGUUUAAAGAUUUAUCGGCUGCGGAUGGCCAUGCGGCGCAUUAGCUAGUCGGCGGGGUAACGGCCCACCGAGGCGACGAUGCGUAGGGGUUCUGAGAGGAAGGUCCCCCACACUGGUACUGAGACACGGACCAGACUCCUACGGGAGGCAGCAG
rnacentral:rRNA from 1 species